rnacentral:rRNA from 1 species
AGUGAACGCUGGCGGCGUGCCUAAUACAUGCAAAUCGAAGGAAGUGGCGCACGGGUGAGAAAUAUAUAGCUAAUCUGGCCCUUGCUGGAGGACAACAGUUAGAAAUGACUGCUAAUACUCCAUAGCAAGGGAUGAGCCUAUAUCGGAGCAGCUCGUCGGUGGGGUAACGGCCUACCGAGGCUAUGACGCGUAACUGGGCUGAGAGGAUGAUCAGUCACAUUGUAACGGAGACAGCGUCCAAACUCCUACGGGAGGCCGCGGUAGGGAAUGUUUCGAAAUGGGAGAAACCCUGGCGCACGAACGCCGCGUGGAGGAUGCCACUGUUCGAAGAGUAAACUCCUUUUGUUAGGGAAGCGGUACCUAGCGAAUAAGCACCGGCUAACUCCGUGCCAGCAGCCGCGGUAAUUC